rnacentral:rRNA from 1 species
UACGAAGGGGGCUAGCGUUGCUCGGAAUCACUGGGCGUAAAGCGCACGUAGGCGGCUUGUUAAGUCAGGGGUGAAAUCCUGGAGCUCAACUCCAGAACUGCCUUUGAUACUGAGAGCUUGAGUCCGGGAGAGGUGAGUGGAACUGCGAGUGUAGAGGUGAAAUUCGUAGAUAUUCGCAAGAACACCAGUGGCGAAGGCGGCUCACUGGCCGGUACUGA